GGGCCAGCCAACUUCGGGAGCUUCCUGGGUUAUCGGUGAAUUUUGGGCGGUCGUUGUUGGGUGCCGCAUG
ensembl:ncRNA F09E10.16 ncRNA